AUCGAAUCAAGAAUCCCGUAGAGUGGCGUAGAAUGUGGUUAUGUGUUUUCAUGCCUCCGAAUAAAAUAUAAUGUGCCGAAGCACCCAGGACAAGGGUGUGGUCCUAGCUUUACAUCGCCUGUUUUGGCCCAGAUAAUAUAAUGUUUCCCAGAAAGUAAAUCACAUCGUAAAUGGUUAAUAGCAGUUCCUCAAGUCCAUCACCCAUGGGUUCGACGAACAGUUAGAUAGCUCCGGAGGCAACCACCGAACCACCAGUACAUCAAACUACCACCUGACGCCUCCCGAAGAAGAUCAUGAGGUGUGGGUAACCUAAGACAGCACCAGAAGAAGCCUUCACACCACAAGCUAAGUCUUUAAUUGAAUCUUAUAUUUGCCUGUCAACCGAGACAGUUUUUUGAUAUAAAGUAACUUCACAAUGACUAUGAUAUCGAUCCUGAAUUAUAACCAAAGAAAUGAGAAAAUAAAGCAUUUAUACCGAAA
rnacentral:lncRNA from 1 species